AAGGAGUCUAACAUCUAUGCGAGUGUUUGGGGGUCAAGCCCGAGCGCGCAAUGAAAGUGAACGGAGGUGGGAACCCUUUGGGUGCACCAUCGACCGAUCCUGAUGUCUUCGGAUGGAUUUGAGUAAGAGCAUAGCUGUUGGGACCCGAAAGAUGGUGAACUAUGCUUGAAUAGGGUGAAGCCAGAGGAAACUCUGGUGGAGGCUCGCAGCGGUUCUGACGUGCAAAUCGACCGUCAAAUUUGGGCAUAGGGGCGAAAGACUAAUCGAACCAUCUAGUAGCUGGUUCCUGC
rnacentral:misc_RNA from 1 species